rnacentral:snoRNA from 1 species
CUUAUACAUAUUACUCACUUCUGGAUAACCAGCGAAGAUAAUACACAUCCAUUUAUUCGAGCACAAAUGGCCGGAAGGAGAGAAAUUCUAAGGAAAAUCCAUUCUAAUCCUUGCUUAGGUUUUAAGUCAUUGGUUUGAGUUUGACUCUCUCUGGUGGCUUAUUCCCUCCUAUCUCAAGGUUCGCUUUAGGGUUAUAUUU